GACGAACGCUGGCGGCGUGCUUAACACAUGCAAGUCGAGCGGUAAGGCCUUUCGGGGUACACGAGCGGCGAACGGGUGAGUAACACGUGGGUGACCUGCCUUUAGCUUCGGGAUAAGCCUGGGAAACCGGGUCUAAUACCGGAUAUGACCUCAUGUCGCAUGGUGUGGGGUGGAAAGUUCUUCGGCUAGAGAUGGGCCCGCGGCCUAUCAGCUUGUUGGUGGGGUGAUGGCCUACCAAGGCGACGACGGGUAGCCGGCCUGAGAGGGCGACCGGCCACACUGGGACUGAGAUACGGCCCAGACUCCUACGGGAGGCAGCAGUGGGGAAUAUUGGACAAUGGGGGAAACCCUGAUCCAGCAAUGCCGCGUGAGUGAAGAAGGCCUUAGGGUUGUAAAGCUCUUUCGGCGGGACGAUGGUGACGGUACCCGCAGAAGAAGCCCCGGCUAACUUCGUGCCAGCCGCCGCAGUAAC
rnacentral:rRNA from 1 species